CAGCCGCCACGGUAAUACGAAGGGUGCAAGCGUUACUCGGAAUUACUGGGCGUAAAGCGUGCGUAGGUGGUGGUUUAAGUCCGUUGUGAAAGCUCUGGGCUCAACCUGGGAAUUGCAGUGGAUACUGGGUCACUAGAGUGUGGUAGAGGAUAGUGGAAUUUCCGGUGUAGCAGUGAAAUGCGUAGAGAUCGGAAGGAACAUCUGUGGCGAAGGCGACUAUCUGGGCCAACACUGACACUGAGGCACGAAAGCGUGGGGAGCAAACAGGAUUAGAUACCCCUGUAGUCCCUGUCUCUUAUAC
rnacentral:rRNA from 1 species